rnacentral:rRNA from 1 species
AUUGAACGCUGGCGGCAUGCCUUACACAUGCAAGUCGAACGGCAGCACGGGAGCAAUCCUGGUGGCGAGUGGCGAACGGGUGAGUAAUAUAUCGGAACGUACCUUUCAGUGGGGGAUAACGUAGCGAAAGUUACGCUAAUACCGCAUAUUCUGUGAGCAGGAAAGCAGGGGAUCUUAGGACCUUGCGCUGAUUGAGCGGCCGAUAUCAGAUUAGCUAGUUGGUGAGGUAAAGGCUCACCAAGGCGACGAUCUGUAGCGGGUCUGAGAGGAUGAUCCGCCACACUGGAACUGAGACACGGUCCAGACUCCUACGGGAGGCAGCAGUGGGGAAUUUUGGACAAUGGGGGCAACCCUGAUCCAGCCAUGCCGCGUGAGUGAAGAAGGCCU